AACGAACGCUGGCGGCAUGCCUAACACAUGCAAGUCGAACGAGACCUUCGGGUCUAGUGGCGCACGGGUGCGUAACGCGUGGGAACCUGCCCUUAGGUUCGGAAUAACUCCCCGAAAGGGGUGCUAAUACCGGAUAAUGUCUUCGGACCAAAGAUUUAUCGCCUUUGGAUGGGCCCGCGUUGGAUUAGCUAGUUGGUAGGGUAAAAGCCUACCAAGGCGACGAUCGAUAGCUGUUCUGAGAGGAUGAUCAGCCACACUGGGACUGAGACACGGCCCAGACUCGGAGGGGAGGCCGCGGCGGGGAAUAUUGCGGAAGGGGCGGGAGGGGAAUGUUGCAAAGCGGCGGAGAGCAAGAAGGCCCACGGGCGGGAGAGUAAUGACGGCGGGGGGGUAGAAAGUCUUUUUAACACGGGGGGAUAAUGACGGUACCGGAAGAAGAAGCCCCGGCUAACUCCGUG
rnacentral:rRNA from 1 species